rnacentral:rRNA from 1 species
AACCGGAUUAGAUACCCUGGUCCUCCACGCCGUAAACGAUGUAUGCCAGCCCUUAGUGGGUUUACUCACUAGUGGCGCAGCUAACGCUUUAAGCAUUCCGCCUGGGGAGUACGGUCGCAAGAUUAAAACUCAAAGGAAUUGACGGGGGCCCGCACAGGCGGUGGAGCAUGUGGUUUAAUUCGACGCAACGCGCAGAACCUUACCAGCCCUUGACAUGUCCAGGUCCGGUCGCAGAGAUGUGACCUUCUCUUCGGCGCCUGGAACACAGGUGCUGCAUGGCUGUCGUCAGCUCGUGNCGUGAGAUGUUGGGUUAAGUCCCGCAACGAGCGCAACCCCCGUCCUUAGUUGCUACCAUUUAGUUGAGCACUCUAAGGAGACUGCCGGUGAUAAGCCGCGAGGAAGGUGGGGAUGACGUCAAGUCCUCAUGGCCCUUACGGGCUGGGCUACACACGUGCUUCAAUGGCGGUGACAAUGGGACGCUAAGGGGCAACCCUUCGCAAAUCUCAAAAAGCCGUCUCAGUUCGGAUUGGGCUCUGCAACUCGAGCCCAUGAAGUUGGAAUCGCUAGUAAUCGUGGAUCAGCACGCCACGGUGAAUACGUUCCCGGGCCUUGUACACACCGCCCGUCACACCAUGGGAGUUGGUUUUACCUGAAGACGGUGCGCUAACCAGCAAUGGAGGCAGCCGGCCACGGUAGGGUCAGCGACUGGGGUGAAGUCGUAACAAGGUAGC